rnacentral:rRNA from 1 species
GACGAACGCUGGCGGCGUGCUUAACACAUGCAAGUCGAACGAAGUGGAGAACGGGUGAGUAAUACGUGGGUAACCUGCCCUCCUUUUUGGGAUAAGCCUUGGAAACGGGGACUAAUACCGAAUAAAGGGGGAUGGGCUCGCGGCCUAUCAGUGUGUUGGCGGGGUGAUGGCGUACCAAGGCGGUGACUGGUAGCCGGCAUGAGAGGCUAACCGGGCACAUUGGGACUGCGCGAAGGCCCAGGAGCGUACGGAGGGGGGAAGUGGGGAAUAUUGCACAAAGGGCGAUACCGUGAUGCAGCGACGCCGCUGAAGGGAUGAAGGUUUUCGAGUUGUAAACCUCUUUCACUAUCGAACGGGUAGGUGGAGAAGAAGCGCCGGCUAACUACGUGCCAGCAGCCGCGGUAAUUC